rnacentral:rRNA from 1 species
UACGUAGGGCGCAAGCGUUAUCCGGAAUUAUUGGGCGUAAAGAGCUCGUAGGCGGUCUGUCGCGUCGGCUGUGAAAAACUCGGGGCUCAACCCUGGGCCUGCAUUCGAUACGGGCAGACUAGAGUUCGGUAGGGGAGACUGGAAUUCCUGGUGUAGCGGUGAAAUGCGCAGAUAUCAGGAGGAACACCGGUGGCGAAGGCGGGUCUCUGGGCCGAAACUGACGCUGAGGAGCGAAAGCGUGGGGAGCAAACAGG